rnacentral:rRNA from 1 species
UUUGCUUGCAAACUUUAGAUGGCGACCGGCGCACGGGUGAGUAACACGUAUCCAGCCUGCCGAUAACUCGGGGAUAGCCUUUCGAAAGAAAGAUUAAUACCCGAUGGUAUAUUUUCACCGCAUGGUGAAACUAUUAAAGAAUUUCGGUUAUCGAUGGGGAUGCGUUCCAUUAGGCAGUUGGUGAGGUAACGGCUCACCAAACCUUCGAUGGAUAGGGGUUCUGAGAGGAAGGUCCCCCACAUUGGAACUGAGACACGGUCCAAACUCCUACGGGAGGCAGCAGUGAGGAAUAUUGGUCAAUGGGCGCGAGCCUGAACCAGCCAAGUAGCGUGAAGGAUGACGGCCCUAUGGGUUGUAAACUUCUUUUAUAUGGGAAUAAAGUUUGGUAUGUAUACCAUUUUGUAUGUACCAUAUGAAUAAGGAUCGGCUAACUCCGUGCCAGCAGCCGCGGUAAUACGGAGGAUCCGAGCGUUAUCCGGAUUUAUUGGGUUUAAAGGGAGCGUAGGUGGAUUGUUAAGUCAGUUGUGAAAGUUUGCGGCUCAACCGUAAAAUUGCAGUUGAAACUGGCAGUCUUGAGUACAGUAGAGGUGGGCGGAAUUCGUGGUGUAGCGGUGAAAUGCUUAGAUAUCACGAAGAACUCCGAUUGCGAAGGCAGCUCACUGGACUGGUAACUGACACUGAGGCUCG